ensembl:lncRNA
AUGCAUCAUAAUUACACAAAGAUCUACUUGGAAUUUCAGAAUGCUCCUCAUUGUUUGGGGAAAAGGAAGAAACUUAGCAGGCAGAGUACCAAAGGACAGAGAAUACAGUGGGAGAACAAAGAAGUAUGUUGGACAGUGAGUUCUGUCAAUGGAUUACUGAAAGCAAUUUUGCAACAUAGGGAUCAAAGACUGCAAAUUGUUUCUGCUUUAUUAAUAUUUGGUGAAUUAAACACUGAGGGAAAUGAAUUGGAGAAUAUUAAAAAAGCCAUGAAUCUAAAUUUUGUAUUCUAAUUAGGUGGAAUUUAUCCUUUUGGCAAAGAAUACGACUUAUCUGCUGUUUGGACUGACUAGUUUUUUUUCUGUUCAACACUGAUCAAUAAAAUCAAUAAAAAUUAUAAAUAUGGUAAGUUGUUAUUGCUCAUUGUCUUGAUAAAUAAAAAUUAACUGAUGUCUGAUGGUAAUUUAUAAAUUAAGUCUCAAUUUAUUCAUCGAAUAAUUCCUGAUGGACUUANNNNNNNNNNUUUAAAAGAAAACAAACCCUAGUUCAAACCAAUUAUUCAUUAAGUCUGUUUUUUCAGUUUUGUUGGGUUUCCUGGUUUCUUAAUUUUCCAUUUAGUGUUUAGGAUCUCAGUGCUGACUUUCUCCUUACAUUUCUUUAGAAGCUUCAUUUUGUAUAGCCAACAUUUAUUUCUAUACUUCAGACCAAACAGAUUCCUUCCAGCGAACGUUUCCACUCCCCUUCCGCUGCCCCCAAACUUCCUUUAGAUCCUCCAGUGAAGGUAAUGGUCUCUAAAUUUAUAGCUACUGAAAAAGGUAACUGCCAAACAAGAACAACACACUUAGUGAUUCAUUUUGAAGUGCUUUUAGAGGAUGUCAAGAUAAAUGAGUUGGAUGACAUAAACAAACAAAGAAAUAUUAACAGAUCAAGAAGUCAUAAUUGAAACACAGGGGUGAAUAUAUUGAUCUGAUAAAAAAUGGUUUAAUCUUCUCAUAAAUGAAUCGCUUUUAUGCUCAACUUUGGCACAAUUUCAUUCUAUAACCUUUAAAAACAUCCUCAGUGACAUGGCUGUUUAAAAUGUUUAUUUCUUCAGACUUAUAUGUGUUAUAAUAGCCUCUGUGUAUUGUGCCCUCACUCUUUGCUGAGAACUGUGUUAGCAUUAAAAGGUUAUUUUACUCAGUCCUUAUAAAAGCCCUAUGUAAUAGGUAUUGCUAAUCUCAUUUUACCUAUUAAAAAAAGUGCUUCCAAGAGGUUAAGUAAAUUGCUUGAUUCUACAUAACUAAUAAAUGUCAAAGCUGGCAUUCAGAGCCAAGUCUACAGUACUCCAAAGUCCAUAGCUACUGCCUUAACAUAAUAAUCCAUAAAUUAAUUUCCAAAUAUCAAAUUGAAAGUAUACUAAGAAUUAAGACUUCUUUUCUUGAAAGUUGUUCCCACAUCUUGUGAUAGGUUAUUGUGAAUUGAUUUAGGAUCAUAGAAUCUCAGGGGACCCUAUGUCUAACCUUCUGCAUAACUCAGGAAUCUUGCCUACAAUAUUGGUGAUAGACUUGUUCCUUCUUGUAAAUGUUUCUAAGAGCAAACAAUGUCCUUCUCUUAGGGCACAUGUGCAUCUCUAUUAAUUAUGGACCGUUGUAAUUUUAUCUAUUUUUUUAUUCACUAUAUUGAGCAGAUAUUUGCCUCUAUUAAUAUCCAACAUUG